AUUGAACGCUGGCGGCAGGCCUAACACAUGCAAGUCGAGCGAGCGGCGGACGGGUGAGUAAUGUAUGGGGACUGCCCGAUAGAGGGGGAUAACUACUGGAAACGGUGGCUAAUACCGCAUACUAUCGGAUAACCCAUAUGGGAUUAGGUAGUUGGUGAGGUAAAGGCUCACCAAGCCGACGAUCUCUAGCUGGUCUGAGAGGAUGACCAGGCACGCUGGGGGUGAGACACGGACGAGAGUCGUACGGAGGCAGCGGUGGGGAAUGUUGCGCAAUGGGGGGAACACUGAAGAAGCCAUGCCGCGUGAAUGAAGAAGGCCUUCGGGUUGUAAAGUUCGUUCGGUAGCGAGGCGUUAACGAAAGAAGAAGCACCGGCUAACUCCGUGCCAGCAGCGGCGGUAUUC
rnacentral:rRNA from 1 species